UACGAAGGGGGCUAGCGUUGUUCGGAUUUACUGGGCGUAAAGCGCACGUAGGCGGACUAUUAAGUCAGGGGUGAAAUCCCGGGGCUCAACCCCGGAACUGCCUUUGAUACUGGUAGUCUUGAGUUCGAGAGAGGUGAGUGGAAUUCCGAGUGUAGAGGUGAAAUUCGUAGAUAUUCGGAGGAACACCAGUGGCGAAGGCGGCUCACUGGCUCGAUACUGACGCUGAGGUGCGAAAGCGUGAGGAGCAAACAGG
rnacentral:rRNA from 1 species